AGUGAACGCUGGCGGUAGGCCUAACACAUGCAAGUCGAACGGCAACACAGUAAGAGCUUGCCCUUACGGGUGGCGAGUGGCGGACGGGUGAGGAAUACAUCGGAAACUAAUUUUUCGUGGGGGACAACGUAGGGGAACUUACGCUAAUACCGCAUAUGACCUACGGGUGAAAGCAGGGGAUCUUCGGGCCUUUCGCGAUUGAAAGAGCCGAUUCCGGAUUAGCUAGUUGGCGGGGUAAAGGCCCACCAAGGCGACGAUCCGUAGCUGGUCUGAGAGGAUGAUCAGCCACACUGGAACUGAGACACGGUCCAGACUCCUACGGGAGGCAGCAGUGGGGAAUAUUGGACAAUGGGCGCAAGCCUGAUCCAGCCAUACCGCGUGGGUGAAGAAGGCCUUCGGGUUGUAAAGCCCUUUUGUUGGGAAAGAAAAGCAGCAGGUUAAUACCCCGCUGUUCUGACGGUACCCAAAGAAUAAGCACCGGCUAACUUCGUG
rnacentral:rRNA from 1 species